rnacentral:rRNA from 1 species
GUUACCCGCUGAACUUAAGCAUAUCAAUAAGCGGAGGAAAAGAAACCAACCGGGAUUGCCUCAGUAACGGCGAGUGAAGCGGCAAGAGCUCAAAUUUGAAAUCUGGCCCCUUUGGGGUCCGAGUUGUAAUUUGCAGAGGAUGCUUCGGGUGCGGUCCCCAUCUAAGUGCCCUGGAACGGGCCGUCAUAGAGGGUGAGAAUCCCGUCUGGGAUGGGCGGCCGCGCCCGUGUGAAGCUCCUUCGACGAGUCGAGUUGUUUGGGAAUGCAGCUCUAAGCGGGUGGUAAAUUUCAUCUAAAGCUAAAUACUGGCCGGAGACCGAUAGCGCACAAGUAGAGUGAUCGAAAGAUGAAAAGCACUUUGAAAAGAGAGUUAAACAGCACGUGAAAUUGUUGAAAGGGAAGCGUUGUCCACCAGACUCGCCCGGGGGGGUUCAGCCGGCACUUGUGCCGGUGUACUCCUCUCCGGGCGGGCCAGCAUCGGUUUGGGCGGCUGGUGAAAGGCCCCGGGAAUGUAACACCCCUCGGGGUGCCUUAUAGCCCGGGGUGCCAUACAGCCAGCCUGGACCGAGGCCCGCGCUUCGGCGAGGAUGCUGGCGUAAUGGUGGUCAACGGCCCGUCUUGAAACACGGACCAAGGAGUCUAACAUCUAUGCGAGUGUUCGGGUGUCAAACCCGUCCGCGCAGUGAAAGCGAACGGAGGUGGGAGCCCCUCGGGGCGCACCAUCGACCGAUCCUGAUGUCUUCGGAUGGAUUUGAGUAAGAGCAUAGCUGUUGGGACCCGAAAGAUGGUGAACUAUGCCUGAAUAGGGCGAAGCCAGAGGAAACUCUGGUGGAGGCUCGCAGCGGUUCUGACGUGCAAAUCGAUCGUCAAAUUUGGGUAUAGGGGCGAAAGACUAAUCGAACCAUCUGGUAGCUGGUUCCUGCCGAAGUUUCCCUCAGGAUAGCAGUAACGACAUCAGUUUUAUGAGGUAAAGCGAAUGAUUAGAGGCCUUGGGGUUGAAACAACCUUAACCUAUUCUCAAACUUUAAAUAUGUAAGAAGCCCUUGUUGCUUAGUUGAACGUGGGCGUUAGAAUGAAACGUUACUAGUGGGCCAUUUUUGGUAAGCAGAACUGGCGAUGCGGGAUGAACCGAACGCGAGGUUAAGGUGCCGGAAUGCACGCUCAUCAGACACCACAAAAGGUGUUAGUUCAUCUAGACAGCCCGACGGUGGCCAUGGAAGUCGGAAUCCGCUAAGGAGUGUGUAACAACUCACGGGCCGAAUGAACUAGCCCUGAAAAUGGAUGGCGCUCAAGCGUGCUACCCAUACCUCGCCGUCGGGGUAGAAACGAUGCCCCGACGAGUAGGCAGGCGUGGGGGUCCGUGACGAAGCCUUGGGAGUGAUCCCGGGUCGAACGGCCCCUAGUGCAGAUCUUGGUGGUAGUAGCAAAUACUCAAAUGAGAACUUUGAGGACUGAAGUGGGGAAAGGUUCCAUGUGAACAGCAGUUGGACAUGGGUGAGUCGAUCCUAAGACAUAGGGUAGUUCCGUUUGAAAGUGCGCCCUCGUGCGCCGUCCGUCGAAAGGGAAGCCGGUUAAUAUUCCGGCACCUGGAUGUGGAUUCUCCACGGCAACGUAACUGAACGCGGAGACAUCGGCGGGGGUCCUGGGAAGAGUUCUCUUUUCUUCUUGACAGCCUAUCACCCUGAAAUCGGUUUGUCCGGAGCUAGGGUUCCACGGCUGGCAGAGCUCGGCACCUUUGCCGGGUCCGGUGCGCCCCCGACGAUCCUUGAAAAUCCGCGGGAAGGAAUAGUUUUCACGCCAGGUCGUACUCAUAACCGCAGCAGG